CCUACGGGAGGCAGCAGUAGGGAAUCUUCCACAAUGGGCGAAAGCCUGAUGGAGCAACGCCGCGUGUGUGAUGAAGGGUUUCGGCUCGUAAAACACUGUGUAAGAGAAGAAUGACAUUGAGAGUA
rnacentral:rRNA from 1 species